rnacentral:lncRNA from 1 species
CGAUUCGAGCCCACUACGUGUCUAUGAACUCGUCUCAGUACGACAUAUCCAAAAAUACAAGUCACGGUCCCAAACUCUCUCCGGUUAAAAAUGUGACUAAAAUAUCCUUAAAUAAUUAAAUAAUUAAAUAAGGGUGAAAUUUGGGGAAAUUUGGGGUCGGGGUGUUACACUUAAAGUUUAAAUCGAUUUCAGAGAAACCCCUAAACCUUAAACCGAUUUCAAAUAAACCCCUAAACCAAUUUCAUAGAAACCGAUAAAC